GACGUAGGGCGCGAGCGUUGUCCGGAUUUAUUGGGCGUAAAGAGCUCGUAGGCGGUCUGCCGCGUCUGCGUGUGAAAACUCAGGGCUUAACCCUGAGCUUGCAGUGGGUACGGGCAGACUAGAGUGCGGUAGGGGAGACUGGAAUUCCGUGGUGAUAGCGGUGAAAUGCGCAGAUAUCAGGAGGAACACCGGUGGCGAAGGCGGGUCUCUGGGCCGGAUAACUGACGCUGGAGGAAGCGAAAGCCGUGGGGAGCGAACAGGA
rnacentral:rRNA from 1 species